rnacentral:rRNA from 1 species
AGAUUGAACGCUAGCGGGAUGCCUUACACAUGCAAGUCGAACGGCAGCGCGGACUUCGGUCUGGCGGCGAGUGGCGAACGGGUGAGUAAUAUAUCGGAACGUGCCCAGUAGCGGGGGAUAACUACGCGAAAGCGUGGCUAAUACCGCAUACGCCCGUACGGGGGAAAGGGGGGAUCGCAAGACCUCUCACUAUUGGAGCGGCCGAUA